UGAGUUUCUCAGUUUGAUAUGUUCUUGAAAUCAUUCUUUAACGUAAAAUUUCACAUUUGGAAUUUGAAGAGAGUGGUGAUCCUGAGAAGCAUUACCAAGAUCUGUUUUCAUUAGCCAAAGAAGGAGUGCAGAAAGGGAAGGUGCUACUUCUUCUCAUACUUUUAACUGGUUUAGAGUUUUCAUAUCGGUUUUGUGUUGGUCUCACUUUCUGAUUAGUACUGCGAUAUCAAGAACACACACACACCGGGAUGAAGUUUGUAAAGUCGACCUGGCCUUCUAAGAAGAAGGAGAAGUAUGAUCAAGAUUGCAUUGUCAAAGGCCGUAACGAGCCUUGUUUGGUUCGACAAGUUCUUGAGGUGGUGGCUGGCCAUAAAAGAUAAUACAUUACACCAUUUAAUGGAAGAAACAUUUUUGAAUAAGAUGACAGUCAAUCACACGUCUUUUUAUCUCA